rnacentral:rRNA from 1 species
UACGGAGGGGGCUAGCGUUGUUCGGAAUUACUGGGCGUAAAGCGUACGUAGGCGGCUUGGCAAGUUAGAGGUGAAAGCCCGGAGCUCAACUCCGGAAUAGCCUUUGAGACUGCCUCGCUUGAACGUCGGAGAGGUGAGUGGAAUUCCGAGUGUAGAGGUGAAAUUCGUAGAUAUUCGGAAGAACACAGUGGCGAAGGCGGCUCACUGGACGACUGUUGACGCUGAGGUACGAAAGCGUGGGGAGCAAACAGG